CUGGAAACGUUCAGUCAGAGUAGGAGGACUAGGAAGAUCUCAAAGUGGAUGGCUCAGAAGGGUAAUUGCAUAGAUGGAGGAAAGGGCUGUAAAAAUCUUGAAUGGCAGCCAAAUAUAGUUCAAGAAUUGGAUGACUUUGAAGAUGAUAGUGAAUCCUUCCUCGAGUACAAAAGAACUGUGACAGGAAGCUGGAACACAACAUGGGGUUGGGUCCCCUGGGCUGUCUUCUCUAAUCCCUGCCAUCUUCAAUUCCACCUGCUGUGUUGGCUCUUUACUUUGAUGGAUCCUCACUCAAGCAUCCCUGAAGAUCAUUUUCCUACUGAUUGGAUGUCCCUUGGCCAUCUUCCCAUUUUCAGAAGAGAAAGUAGGAGUGGAUACCACACAUGAACUUGGCUUAAAAGGGACUACAAUGUCCCCUGCACUUUCAGGCACAAAUGGGAUGAAAAACUUGCAAAAAUCAACCAAACCAAACCAAACCAAACAACACACCAUUCAGACAGCUAUGUCCAUUUACUCUGGAGAAAUAGAGCUGUCUGAGUAUCCUCCCCUGUUUUUAGAGCUCUACUUUCUCCUGUGAUCAGGGCCAACCAGAAGGAAAUGAAGCCAGCUUAAAGGUUUAUCAAUGACAGAUGAAGAGACAAUGUGGUCUAAUGAGAAUGGUACUGGUGGGUUUUUUAAUCUGUUGAGUGUUAACUCAUUUUCCCGGUGCUUAUAACUGACAUAAUCAUGCUGCCCUUUGAAUUUCCACUUACCUGAUGGAGUAUCUUCUGGUAUUCUCUCACCUAUGGCUGGCAGCACUUCUGUAGUUUCUGGAAAGCUUCUCAUCAAAGUGUAGGACUGAAUGAAAAAUGUCAGAAACUUUAAGGUGGGAAUAGCUGUUAUGAUAAGGGUUGCCAUAACAUUGGCUGGGCAGAAAUAUGCUUUCUGUAGCACACAUCUGUGUGUGUGGUGACUAUAACAUAUCUGGGAAAGGUACUGCUAUGCACGGGCUGCAUAGUAAGACAUCUGUAAGGCUUUCUGGGUUCAUGUGGCAUGCAUAGGUCAUCUGCACAGCAUGCACCCAACACAUCUGACAGGGCUUGAAAUCCUCAGCACAUGUGUAGUAGGGACUUCUAGAUAAAUGGCCUGAAUCCUUGAAUUCCAAAUGCAAAUUAAUUUAAUUUUAGGUAGCAAAUAGGACACAUUAGGAAAAUUUAAACAUGUGGUAACCUCACUUGCACUUAUCUGAUCUGAACUCUAGAAUCUAGGCCAAUCAAUCAGAACCACCAGCUCUUUCUUGUAUCCUAACUCCUAUUUGACCUACAGUGUAUCUUCUAAGAGGAGUAUCUUGUCUAGAUCUGAAUAGAUGGAGAGUACAUCAUCAAUAUGUAAGUUGUUCCAAUGAUUAUUCUUGUUAGAAAUAUUUCUAUAAAUAUUUAUGUUCAUACAAAAAUAUCUGCUGCAUUAAAUCUUGCCAUAAGUAUCUUUUGGCAUUGGUUACUACUAGCUGAGCUUACCUGUGGUAGCAAGUGACACACAAAACACUUUCUGACUGUACUGAAGGAUGUUACCAGCAUUAUUAGCCUUAGGACACUUGGAAGUACUGUCCUGUAUAAUGCUUAAAGCAGCUAAUACAAGCCUCAACAUAAAGUUAAGACUUCUCAUAGGGAUGCCUGUAUGGUCUGCCCUUGCACCCAUGUGCUCUCGCGGGGGCUCUCUCCAGCUAUGGGGCGCAGCGUGGCGAUGCAGAGCAGGGCACCAAUGUCUCCAGCCAGAGGGCCGUAAAGUUGAGGACCUGCCUGCAGGGAGGGUGAGCUUGUUACCCACAUGGCCUGGGAGCGGGUGUGCAUGUUGAUCUGUGUGAGAUUAGGGCGUUUGGGAAUUAUAGAAGGGUGUUAAGAAAUUUGUAGGUUUUUACUAACAUUCCGUGUAUAGCGCUGUGGUUUAUCUCCUUGAGUUGCUGAUGCUGAUUCUGAAUGUAUAGCUCACUGAUUGCUGAUUGAUUCCUGUCAUUAAUAAAUCAAUAAACUUCUUUGAUUGCAUCUGA